rnacentral:rRNA from 1 species
GAUGAACGCUGGCGGCGUGCCUAAUACAUGCAAGUCGAGCGAACAGAUAAGGAGCUUGCUUCUUUGACGUUAGCGGCGGACGGGUGAGUAACACGUGGGUAACCUACCUAUAAGACUGGGAUAACUUCGGGAAACCGGAGCUAAUACCGGAUAAUAUUUCGAACCGCAUGGUUCGAUAGUGAAAGAUGGUUUUGCUAUCACUUAUAGAUGGACCCGCGCCGUAUUAGCUAGUUGGUAAGGUAACGGCUUACCAAGGCGACGAUACGUAGCCGACCUGAGAGGGUGAUCGGCCACACUGGAACUGAGACACGGUCCAGACUCCUACGGGAGGCAGCAGUAGGGAAUCUUCCGCAAUGGGCGAAAGCCUGACGGAGCAACGCCGCGUGAGUGAUGAAGGUCUUCGGAUCGUAAAACUCUGUUAUUAGGGAAGAACAUACGUGUAAGUAACUGUGCACGUCUUGACGGUACCUAAUCAGAAAGCCACGGCUAACUACGUG